GACGAACGCUGGCGGCGUGCCUAAUACAUGCAAGUUGAGCGCUGAAGGUUGGUACUUGUACCAACUGGAUGAGCAGCGAACGGGUGAGUAACGCGUGGGGAAUCUGCCUUUGAGCGGGGGACAACAUUUGGAAACGAAUGCUAAUACCGCAUAAAAACUUUAAACACAAGUUUUAAGUUUGAAAGAUGCAUUUGCAUCACUCAAAGAUGAUCCCGCGUUGUAUUAGCUAGUUUGUGAGGUAAAGGCUCACCAAGGCGAUGAUACAUAGCCGACCUGAGAAGGGGAUUGGCCACAAUGGGAAUGAGACACGGCCCAAACUCCUACGGGAGGCAGCAGUAGGGAAUCUUCGGCAAUGGACGAAAGGCUGAACGAGCAACGCCGCGUGAGUGAAGAAGGGUUUCGGAUCGGAAAACUCUGUUGGUAGAGAAGAAAGUUGGUGAGAGUGGAAAGCGCAUCAAGUGACGGUAACUACCCAGAAAGGGACGGCUAACUACGUG
rnacentral:rRNA from 1 species